AGACUUCCUGCAGGCCACGCAGCUCUCCUCGGCCUCCCAUAGACUUGUCUCAGCAGGACCCUCCACUCGCUCCAGCACAUCCACUGAGGUGAUCCCCUCUGCCGUGGGCCUCGGCCAUACCAGCACCUUCCCCACACUGCAGAUCAGAAUCACAGCCCUGACUCGGGGCUCCCAGAUGAGUUUCCUUCCCUGCUGCUUUGCUACCCAUGCCAGUCUCUGGUUCCUUCAGCGUCAGCACUCCCACCCACUCCCUGCACAUCUCAUCCACUCCCUGAGCCCCCUUCCUCAUCUCCAUUUUUUAACCGGGAAAACCCACCCCUCCACACCAUCAAGUUACUUUCAGAAAUUCCAGGACCCUCCCAACUUUCCAAGAACUCCUAAGCUUUCCCUUCUCUUGGACAUCUUUCUAGACUCAUUAAAGAAACACAGUGGCCUCCCCAGCUACCAUUGUCCAAAAGUGGAUUUGUCCUCAGCUCACCAGUGCCUCACAUUUAUAUUUAAGGUGAUGUGGUGGGCAGGAUUCUAAGAUGCACCCAGGAUUUCCUGCAUCCUCCUUUGUGUAUACACCCUGAGAAUACCAUGGAUUUUAUUCCCAUGAUUAGCUGCUAUUUUAUGACAUAGGUGACCUUAAGAAAGAAAAAAUGAUCCCAGUGGGCCUGAUUCCAUGAUACGGAGGACUUCAGUCUUAUGACCACAGAGAGCAGAAUUCUAUCAACAGGAAAAAGCUACAAGUGGAUUAUUUCCUCAUCACCUCCAGAGAAAAACUCAGGCCAACACCUAGAUUUCAACCUUGUGAUGCCCUAAGCAGAGGACCCAGCCACACCGUUCCAGACUUCUGACUUAGAGAACUGUGUACUAAUAAGUGGGUAUUGUAUGAAGCCACUAAAUUGCUGGUAAUUUGCAAUAUAGCAGAAAAUAAACAUAGCUGCAGCGUUAUUCAUCUCUACUCCCAGCUCAAACAUCCCAACCAUCUCCACCCAAGAAAGUUGACUAACAGCUCAGCAUGUUCCUCAAAACAUGAUUACAAACUGUUUGGCGCUUUCCUAAAAGGUUAAACAGAGAACUACCAUGUGACCCAGCAAUUCUGCUCCCAUAUGUAUAUCCAAGAAAAUUGGAAGUGGAGACUCGAACAGAUUCUCGUAUACCAUUGUUCAUAGCAGCAUUAUUCAAAACAGCCAAAAGAUGGAAGCAACCUG
rnacentral:lncRNA from 1 species